AGUGAACGCUGGCGGUAGGCCUAACACAUGCAAGUCGAACGGCAGCACAGAAAGAGCUUGCUCUUACGGGUGGCGAGUGGCGGACGGGUGAGGAAUACAUCGGAAUCUACUUUUUCGUGGGGGAUAACGUAGGGAAACUUACGCUAAUACCGCAUACGACCUACGGGUGAAAGCAGGGGAUCUUCGGACCUUGCGCGAUUGAAUGAGCCGAUGUCGGAUUAGCUAGUUGGCGGGGUAAAGGCCCACCAAGGCGACGAUCCGUAGCUGGUCUGAGAGGAUGAUCAGCCACACUGGAACUGAGACACGGUCCAGACUCCUACGGGAGGCAGCAGUGGGGAAUAUUGAACAAUGGGCGCAAGCCUGAUCCAGCCAUACCGCGUGGGUGAAGAAGGCCUUCGGGUUGUAAAGCCCUUUUGUUGGGAAAGAAAAGCAGCAGGUUAAUACCCCGCUGUUCUGACGGUACCCAAAGAAUAAGCACCGGCUAACUUCGUG
rnacentral:rRNA from 1 species